rnacentral:misc_RNA from 1 species
GAUGAAGAACGUAGCGAAAUGCGAUACUUGGUGUGAAUUGCAGAAUCCCGUGAACCAUCGAGUCUUUGAACGCAAGUUGCGCCCGAAGCCAUUAGGCCGAGGGCACGCCUGCCUGGGCGUCACACGUCGUUGCCCCCCCAUCUACUCCUUCGGGGUUGCGGGGGGCGGAUGAUGGCCUCCCGUGCGCCUCGCCGCGCGGUUGGCAUAAAUGCCAAGUCCUCGGCGACGCACGCCACGACAAUCGGUGGUUGCGAAACCUCGGUUGCCCGUCGUGUGCGGUCGUCGCGCAUCGAGGGCUCGAAAAAAUUGCCGGGUUCCGGCUCGGCUUUCAACGCGACCCCAGGUCAGGCGGGGUUACCCGCUGAAUUUAAGCAUAUCAAUAAGCGGAGGA